CCCAGAAUGGCUCAGUCAGUACAGCAUGAGACUCUUCAUCUCAGGGUUCUGGGUUCAAGUCCCGCGUUCCUGCAUUGCAGCGGGU